rnacentral:rRNA from 1 species
AGCAGCCGCGGUAAUUCCAGCUCCAAUAGCGUAUAUUAAGGUUGUUGCAGUUAAAAAGCUCGUAGUUGAAUUUCGGGAUCAGUUUGUUGGUCGUGCUUCGGUACGUACUGUCAUUACUGGUUUCUACCUUCUGAAGAACCUUGAUGUCAUUAAUUUGGUGUCUUGGGGAAUCAGGACUGUUACUUUGAAAAAAUUAGAGUGUUUAAAGCAAGCAUACGCUUGAAUACAUUAGCAUGGAAUAAUGAAAUAGGACGUUUGAUUCUAUUUUGUUGGUUUCUAGGAUCGACGUAAUGAUUAAUAGGGAUAGUUGGGGGCAUUAGUAUUCAAUUGUCAGAGGUGAAAUUCUUGGAUUUAUUGAAGACUAACUACUGCGAAAGCAUUUGCCAAGGAUGUUUUCAUUAAUCAAGAACGAAAGUUAGGGGAUCGAAGACGAUCAGAUACCGUCGUAGUCUUAACCAUAAACUAUGCCGACUAGGGAUCGGAUGAUGUUAUUUUUAAUGACUCAUUCGGCGCCUUACGG